CUAGCUACAGCGGUACAUAUUCUGAAAGUAGAGUGAUACAGAGAAGAUUAGCAUGGCCCCUGUGCAAGGAUAAUAUGCAAAUUCGUGAAGCGUCCCAUAUUUUU